AGUUUUACUUAUAUUUUUAAAUAUUUAUUUCAUGAACUUAUCAAUUUUUAUUUUUUAAAAAUUGCAUAGCGAUAAGCCAUUACAGUCAUGUUAUGGCUAUUAUAAUUGCGAUUUAAAUCCAUGUUUUGAACACUUGCUGAGGAGUUUUUAGUGAAUUAAUUUUUUAGGUCUUAGGACUACAAGUUCUACAAGAAUAAAUAUGAUCUUUGCAGUCAGUUUGCAAUUUAUCACUUGGUUUUGAGUUACACAUUUUAUAAAAUAGUUGUCAAGUUAAAGAAAAUUACAUUUUCAUUUGUAGUUUGUGUUGUGGUGUGGUGUUAUCUUGUCUGGUAAAAUAUCCCGGAAGUCUCAUGCAUAGUAACUCCCUUUCUUUUUCCUAAUAAAAUGGAUACCAAUAUUAUUCUUUAACUAGGACUCUAUUUUAUUGCAGAAAUAAUUUGGGCAAAACUUUUCUGAGAAUGAAUUAUUUUCUAUGAUUUGGUUUUAAUAAUUAAAAUAAGUUACCAGAAGUUGCAAUUGUGGAGAAAGAUUAUUGAGACUAAGGGUUUUAGGCCUUGUCAAAGGAAUGGAAGUAAGGUUUGAUUGGAUGGAGUUUUGGUACUAAAAUGCAAUCAAUUCAAGUAUUUAGGUUCUAUCAUAUAGAAGAACAAAGUAAUAUAUGAGUAUAUAACUCAUAAGAUCAAAAUAUGAUAAAUGAAAUGGAGAAAUAUGAUAGGUAUACCAUGCAACCAUAGAAUUGGCAAAAUGAAAGGUAAUUUCCAUAGAAUUGUGAUCAGGCCAGCUAUCUUAUAUGAUAAUGAAUGUUGAUAUCUAAUAUACAACAUAUCUACAAAAUGAGUGUGAUAGAAAUAUAUGAUAUUAUGAUAAUAGAUAAGAUUAUCAAUGACUACAUUGACUAGAAAGUGCAUGUAAUAUACAUUUGAGAUAAAACAAAAAAGUGUCAAAUAAGAUGGUUUGGUCAUAUCUAAUAUAGAGCAUCAAAUGUCCUGAUAUAAAAAUGUGAAAAUCUAAUACGGAGGGAAGUAGCAUAAAAAAAAU
rnacentral:misc_RNA from 1 species